AUUGCAAACCCCAGACCGACCUCUCCCCGACCCGUUUUGCAGCAACGGGCGAUCCGAUCUUUUCUCCGUCGUCCGGCCGUAUCAAGCAGUCGCACCGGUUGCCACGGCUUCCUCUCGACGUCGCCAUCAUCCCUAUGUCUUUGGUUUUCACAGAAGAGCUCCGGUGACAGAGAAUCAAAUCCAGACGAGUUUUUCCGAUUCUGGUCGAGUCACGGUGUCGGACCUGUAUCAGAAUCUUCCUCUCGACUUCAGAAACCUUUCUAUGGUUUUAGUUUUCCAAGAUGGGUUCGGAUGAGGGAGAAUCGAACCUCUAAAAGUUUCUGACUUUUCCGGCGAGUUUUCAUGUUUUUGAUUUCAACUCAGUGGCGAUAUUGAAGUUCUUUGAUUUGUUUUCGAUCACAGAAUUCAAGAAUGAUAAGAAGUGGAUGAUCGGAGUUGAACUGUGUUACUCGGGGGUGUACAAACUGCAACUGUUUUGGAUUAAUAUUUGGUAUCCAUGCUUGUUAGUCUGAUAAUUGGAACUUGGAGCUUUGAUUUCAGAACUGUAGAAGUGGGAUGAUUCCUCCAGAAUUGGAUCAUGUGUGUUCCAGCAUAGAAGAUCAUCUUUGCUCUUGUUGAUGUGUGUUUUUACAAAAUGAGUUAGGAAGCUCAUGCAUCUAGAAUCGAAAUCGGAAGUUGGGGAUGAGAAGAAUUUGGGUGUGCUUUGUAAUUGCGACGACUUGAAUCCAAUAAGACAAAUGAUGUAUUUCAAAAUUUUGGUCAAUUGUUAUUUGGAAAAUUCUUCUAAAAA